CCUACGGGUGGCAGCAGUGGGGAAUAUUGGACAAUGGGCGAAAGCCUGAUCCAGCCAUGCCGCGUGUGUGAAGAAGGCCUUCGGGUUGUAAAGCACUUUCAGUGGGGAAGAAAGCCUUGGGGCUAAUACCCUCGAGGAAGGACAUCACCCACAGAAGAAGCACCGGCUAACUCCGUGCCAGCAGCCGCGGUAAUACGGAGGGUGCGAGCGUUAAUCGGAAUUACUGGGCGUAAAGGGCGCGUAGGCGGUCUGAUAAGCCGGUUGUGAAAGCCCCGGGCUCAACCUGGGAACGGCAUCCGGAACUGUCAGGCUAGAGUGCAGGAGAGGAAGGUAGAAUUCCCGGUGUAGCGGUGAAAUGCGUAGAGAUCGGGAGGAAUACCAGUGGCGAAGGCGGCCUUCUGGACUGACACUGACGCUGAGGUGCGAAAGCGUGGGUAGCAAACAGGAUUAGAUACCCGAGUAGUC
rnacentral:rRNA from 1 species